ACAUGGGAGAUACUCUGUGAAAGCAAAUUUCUUGUCCUCUGGAGCCAGGAUCCCUAAUUGCCUAGGCUGCCUUACUCUUUUUUUUUUUUUUUUUUUUUGCCUUACUCUUUUUCUAUCUUAGAGUCAGUGUUAAAUGAAAAGGCAGCAGACAGAGCCAAAAACUCUUGGUCUUAGAGUCACAGCACACUGAAAGUAUUCAGAUGUAUUUAAAAAUCUUAUGAUCUUAAAUACAGUCAGAGUUUAAUCCUUUUCAGCAUUUUUAUUGUUAAGUGUGUAAUAUUUUAUAUGUACAGAAGGGCUCAUCCACUGUAGGCAGCAGCAUAGAAAGCUGAACGCAGUUUACAACAUUGAUUCUCUAACAGAAUUUCUCUUAGUGGCAACUUUGAUUAUUCAACUAAUUUGUAAUUUGCUAACUGACAUUUGCAUUUUAAUAGAUUUAUCUAAUUGGAUUUUAUUUUGAAUGUAACUCUCUUAGCUGUGUUUAUCUUCUUUAAAAAAUCAAACCUGAAAAUAAAAUUAAGAAUAUUGAUCAUUUAGAAUACUGCAAGUGAGGGGAUCCCUGGGUGGCUCAGCAAUUGAGCUCCUGCCUGCCUUGGCCCAUGGCGUGAUCCUGGAGUCCCAGGAUCGAGUCCCACAUCAAGCUCCUUGCAUGGAGCCUGCUUCUCCCUCUGCCUGUGUUGUGUCUCUGCCUCUCUUCCUCUCUGCGUCUCUCAUGAAUAAAUAAAUAAAAUCUUAAAAAAAAAGAAAAAAGAAUACUGCAAGUGAGAAAACAGUGCUAAAUAUCCUCAUGCCUGAAAAUCCUGGUGUGAAAUAAACAUUCCAUUCAGCAACAGAUUGGAUUUCCUGGAAGUGGCAGCUUUGAUUUCUGUUGGUUUCUAAAGUUCUGCCCUAUCUAAAUAUAUAUCCUAAGAUUACGUUGCAAGAUGAUGAUGGUGAUAAUGGUGGUAGGGGUAAUGAUUAUUAAUGUAUGGGUCUUGGUAGCCUGUUUCCUAGUCCUAGGAUCUUGAAAUCCUUAUAAAAUCAGGCAAUUAAUCUUUUGAUUGUGUUCAUGAGCUUCUGGAUUAUAUAUCACAAAGCAUAACAACACCUAGAAGAGCAGCUGACAUUGGAAGCAUACCAUUUGGGCCAUUACAGACCCCAUUUUCGAAGCUCUGGUAGGUAUAACUCUACUAAAACUUCACAGUUGCUCUGCAAGGUUGGUGCUGUAGUUGCCUCAUUUUGUAGAUGAGGAAAUGAAGACAUUGAAAGAUUAUAUGGGGUGAUUACAUAUUCACUCAGGGCUCUACAGAACUUACAUGGUAGAACUAGGAUUCAGAAGAGCAAAGUCUGACUCAGAGUCCAGUUAUGUUCUUCAUCAUUCGCUCUAUUGUGCAGGUGACCUCGGUACUUUUAUUUGGUUAACUUAAGGGGGAAGUGAUCAUUGAAAAUAUAAAAUGGUCUGCAGGUUCUGCUUCUCACUUUUUUGGUCCAAAGUCUAUAAAAGCCCAUUCUUCUAUUUUAUAUAAAACCAAAUAAUUCUGACAUAUUAAAAAAAAAAACAUUUGGUCAGUAUGUACUACUGGAGCAGUAGGUUUAUAUUGUCCAAUAUAUGUGACCACUAGCCACAUGAAGUUAUUUAGAUUUAAAUUCCUUAAAAUCAAAUGAAAUUGAAAAUCUAUUUCCUCAUUCUUACUAGCUCCAUUUUAUGUGCUUAAUGGCCACAUGUGGUGAGUGAUUACCAUACUGGAUAAGGAUAAGAACUAAAACAUUUUCAUUAUCACAGAAAGUUUUAUUAGACAGCACUGCUCUAGAACAGUUAUUGUUGAACAGAAAUACAAUAUGAGCCACAUGUGUAAUUUUAAAUUUUCUAGGAACCAUA
rnacentral:lncRNA from 1 species